AUUGAACGCUGGCGGCAUGCCUUACACAUGCAAGUCGAACGGUAACAGGUCUUCGGAUGCUGACGAGUGGCGAACGGGUGAGUAAUACAUCGGAACGUGCCUAGUAGUGGGGGAUAACUACUCGAAAGAGUGGCUAAUACCGCAUGAGAUCUACGGAUGAAAGCAGGGGAUCGCAAGACCUUGUGCUAUUAGAGCGGCCGAUGGCAGAUUAGGUAGUUGGUGGGAUAAAAGCUUACCAAGCCGACGAUCUGUAGCUGGUCUGAGAGGACGAUCAGCCACACUGGGACUGAGAAACGGCCCAGACUCCUACGGGAGGCAGCAGUGGGGAAUUUUGGACAAUGGGCGAAAGCCUGAUCCAGCAAUGCCGCGUGCAGGAUGAAGGCCUUCGGGUUGUAAACUGCUUUUGUACGGAACGAAAAGCCCUGGGUUAAUACCCUGGGGUCAUGACGGUACCGUAAGAAUAAGCACCGGCUAACUACGUGCCAGCCGCCGCGGUAA
rnacentral:rRNA from 1 species